CCCUUAGAUGUCCUGGGCCGCACGCGCGUUACACUGAUGCAUUCAACGAGCUUAUAACCUUGGCCGAGAGGCCUGGGCAAUCUUGUUAACGUGAAUCGUGAUAGGGAUAGAUUAUUGAAAUUAUUAAUCUUGAACGAGGAAUUCCUAGUAAACGCAGAUCAUCAAUCUGCAUUGAUUACGUCCCUGCCCUUUGUACACACCGCCCGUCGCACCUACCGAUUGGAUGGUCCGGUGAAGCCUCGGGAUUGUGGUUCUUGCCGCUUUAUUGUGGCGUGACCGCGAGAACUUGUCUAAACCUUAUCAUCUAGAGGAAGGUGAAGUCGUAACA
rnacentral:rRNA from 1 species